rnacentral:ncRNA from 2 species
AUAUUUCGUCUGGGGUGCCUGAAAGGGCUGAGAUUAAACCCAUCGAACCUGAUGCAGUUUGUACUGCCGAAGGAAGAGCGAACCUGAAACCGA